rnacentral:rRNA from 1 species
GAUGAACGCUGGCGGCGUGCCUAAUACAUGCAAGUCGAGCGAACAGACGAGGAGCUUGCUCCUCUGACGUUAGCGGCGGACGGGUGAGUAACACGUGGAUAACCUACCUAUAAGACUGGGAUAACUUCGGGAAACCGGAGCUAAUACCGGAUAAUAUAUUUAACCGCAUGGUUCAAUAGUGAAAGACGGUUUUGCUGUUACUUAUAGAUGGAUCCGCGCCGCAUUAGCUAGUUGGUAAGGUAACGGCUUACCAAGGCGACGAUGCGUAGCCGACCUGAGAGGGUGAUCGGCCACACUGGAACUGAGACACGGUCCAGACUCCUACGGGAGGCAGCAGUAGGGAAUCUUCCGCAAUGGGCGAAAGCCUGACGGAGCAACGCCGCGUGAGUGAUGAAGGUCUUCGGAUCGUAAAACUCUGUUAUUAGGGAAGAACAAAUGUGUAAGUAACUAUGCACGUCUUGACGGUACCUAAUCAGAAAGCCACGGCUAACUACGUG